rnacentral:rRNA from 1 species
AGUGAACGCUGGCGGUAGGCCUAACACAUGCAAGUCGAACGGCAGCACAGUAAGAGCUUGCUCUUACGGGUGGCGAGUGGCGGACGGGUGAGGAAUACAUCGGAAUCUACUUUUUCGUGGGGGAUAACGUAGGGAAACUUACGCUAAUACCGCAUACGACCUACGGGUGAAAUCAGGGGAUCUUCGGACCUUUCGCGAUUGAAUGAGCCGAUGUCGGAUUAGCUAGUUGGCGGGGUAAAGGCCCACCAAGGCGACGAUCCGUAGCUGGUCUGAGAGGAUGAUCAGCCACACGGGAACUGAGACACGGUCCAGACUCCUACGGGAGGCAGCAGUGUGGAAUAUUGGACAAUGGGCGCAAGCCUGAUCCAGCCAUACCGCGUGUGUGAAGAAGGCCUUCGGGUUGUAAAGCCCUUUUGUUGGGAAAGAAAAGCAGCAGGUUAAUACCCCGCUGUUCUGACGGUACCCAAAGAAUAAGCACCGGCUAACUUCGUG